rnacentral:tRNA from 1 species
CGGCGUAUAGCUUAAUGCAAAGCACCUGCCUGUCACGCAGGAAGAUAUCAGUUCAUUUCUGAUUACGUCGG